rnacentral:rRNA from 1 species
AACGAACGCUGGCGGCAUGCCUAACACAUGCAAGUCGAACGAGACCUUCGGGUCUAGUGGCGCACCGGUGCGUAACGCGUGGGAACCUGCCCUUAGGUUCGGAAUAACUCCCCGAAAGGGGUGCUAAUACCGGAUAAUGUCUUCGGACCAAAGAUUUAUCGCCUUUGGAUGGGCCCGCGUUGGAUUAGCUAGUUGGUAGGGUAAAAGCCUACCAAGGCGACGAUCCAUAGCUGGUCUGAGAGGAUGAUCAGCCACACUGGGACUGAGACACGGCCCAGACUCCUACGGGAGGCAGCAGUGGGGGAUAUUGGACAAUGGGCGAAAGCCUGAUCCAGCAAUGCCGCGUGAGUGAUGAAGGCCUUAGGGUUGUAAAGCUCUUUUACCCGGGAUGAUAAUGACAGUACCGGGAGAAUAAGCUCCGGCUAACUCCGUG